UCCAGAGAAUUUAGCAGAGAUGCUUUAGUGCCUUCGGGAACUCUGAGACAGGUGCUGCAUGGCUGUCGUCAGCUCGUGUUGUGAAAUGUUGGGUUAAGUCCGCAACGAGCGCAACCCUUAUCCUUUGUUGCCAGCACGUAACGGUGGGAACUCAAAGGAGACUGCCGGUGAUAAACCGGAGGAAGGUGGGGAUGACGUCAAGUCAUCAUGGCCCUUACGAGUAGGGCUACACACGUGCUACAAUGGCGCAUCAAAGAGAAGCGACCUCGCGAGAGCAAGCGGACCUCAUAAAGUGCGUCGUAGUCCGGAUUGGAGUCUGCAACUCGACUCCAUGAAGUCGGAAUCGCUAGUAAUCGUAAAUCAGAAUGUUACGGUGAAUACGUUCCCGGGCCUUGUACACACCGCCCGUCACACCAUGGGAGUGGGUUGCAAAAGAAGUAGAUAGCUUAACCUUCGGGAGGGCGUUUACCACUUUGUGAUUCAUGACUGGGGUGAAGUCGUAACAAGGUAAGCGUAGUGCU
rnacentral:rRNA from 1 species